GCAAAAUUAAAUUAUUCCCGUAUUAAAUUAGGGAUAUACACACUUAUAAAUUUUACUUUUCGUACUCAGAAAAAUGCAACUUUUCAUUUGUGGGCUAGUUUCGAUAAAUUUCCGAUAAAAAGUAGAGACGGCACCGAUUUGUUCGUAAUUCGCAUAGCAAUUGGUUCUGAAUUAACAACAAAUGAGGUAAUCCGCUCUCAAAAUUUUGUAUGGCGAAUUCGAAUUCGAAGGGUAAUUGGAGUGCGAAUUACGAAUGAGAGAGCGAACUACGUAAUUGCGGUGCCAUAAGCUGUGUUCGAUAACAAUUAGCCAACACUAGCCAACAAUAAAAAUCAAGAGCUUUAGCGAAAUUUCCUUCCCAAAGAGAAGAAAAAGCAAAAAGUAAACGAACAGGAAAUAAGCCAUCACUUGCAAAACCCGGAAGAAGUGGACACACACGAGCUGAGCUUGUUUAUGUUUUAUUUGUAAACAAACUUAAAUUCAUGUUGCCUCCAUGGGAG